ACGCACAGCAAGGCGCUGAUGCGAUGGGUCCUCGCGAGGUACUGCGCCCGCG
rnacentral:tRNA from 1 species